rnacentral:snRNA from 1 species
AUGUAAAUGCAAUCUGGUUGGGACAGCUCUCACCCCAAUGAUCACCAGGGCUGAGUCAGCAAGUCUGGCUGACUAAGACAGGUGUCCCCAGCCUCCUUCAUGGCU